AGCGAACGCUGGCGGCAGGCUUAACACAUGCAAGUCGAGCGGGCAUAGCAAUAUGUCAGCGGCAGACGGGUGAGUAACGCGUGGGAACGUACCUUUUGGUUCGGAACAACACAGGGAAACUUGUGCUAAUACCGGAUAAGCCCUUACGGGGAAAGAUUUAUCGCCGAAAGAUCGGCCCGCGUCUGAUUAGCUAGAUGGUGAGGUAAUGGCUCACCAAGGCGACGAUCAGUAGCUGGUCUGAGAGGAUGAUCAGCCACAUUGGGACUGAGACACGGCCCAAACUCCUACGGGAGGCAGCAGUGGGGAAUAUUGGACAAUGGGCGCAAGCCUGAUCCAGCCAUGCCGCGUGAGCGAUGAAGGCCCUAGGGUUGUAAAGCUCUUUUGUGCGGGAAGAUAAUGACGGUACCGCAAGAAUAAGCCCCGGCUAACUUCGUGCCAGCAGCCGCGGUAA
rnacentral:rRNA from 1 species